rnacentral:tRNA from 1 species
GCAGGUGUGGCUCAGUGGUUGAGCGUCGGCCUAUGAACCAGGAGGUAAGGGUUCGAUUCCCCAUCUGGA